UACGUAGGUGGCAAGCGUUGUUCGGAAUUAUUGGGCGUAAAGGGCGCGUAGGCGGUUUGUUAAGUCGGCUGUGAAAGCCCGGGGCUCAACCCCGGAGGGUCAGCCGAUACUGGCAGACUAGAGUACGGAAGAGGUAGCUGGAAUUCCCGGUGUAGCGGUGAAAUGCGCAGAUAUCAGGAAGAACACCCGUGGCGAAGGCGGCUCACUGGACUGGUACUGACGCUGAGGCGCGAAAGCGUGGGGAGCAAACGGG
rnacentral:rRNA from 1 species